UGUGCCGUUAAUGGCCGUGCCCGGCACCGGGCCGCUCUGGUAGUGCUGGGACAUGUGAAGUCUGCUGGGGGCGGCGGGCUCCGGCACCUCGGCGCCGGGGAGGUACAUGCUGAUCAUGUCCCGGAGGUCCCCGGCCUGGCAGGGAGCCCUGGAGUGGGAGGAAGAGGUAACCACGGGGGGGCUGGAGCUGGCCUCGGACUUGACCACCGAGCCCAUGGAGCCAAGCGCCAUGCCAGGGGUGCCCUGCUGCGAGUAGGACAUGCUGUAGGUGGGCGAGCCGUUCAUGUAGGUCUGCGAGCUGGUCAUGGAGUUGUACUGCAGGGCACUCACGUCGUAGCGGUGCAUGGGCUGCAUCUGAGCGGCGCCGUGCGCGUUGAGGCCCGGGUGCUGUGGGUAGCCCAGCUGGUCCUGCAUCAUGCUGUAGCUGCCGUUGCUCCAGCCGUUCAUGUGCGCGUAGCUGUCCAUGCGUUGGUUCACGCCCGCGCCGAGGCCGGCGCCCACCCCGACCCCGCUCGCCAUGCUGUUGCCGCCCGGGGCCAGCAGCCCUCCCGGCAGCGUGUACUUAUCCUUCUUCAUGAGCGUCUUGGUUUUCCGCCGGGGCCGGUAUUUAUAAUCCGGGUGCUCCUUCAUGUGCAGCGCUCGCAGCCGCUUGGCCUCGUCGAUAAACGGCCGCUUUUCCGUCUCCGACAAAAGUUUCCACUCGGCGCCCAGACGCUUGCUGAUCUCCGAGUUGUGCAUCUUGGGGUUCUCUUGGGCCAUCUUGCGCCGCUGCCCGCGGGACCACACCAUGAAGGCGUUCAUGGGCCGCUUGACGCGGUCCGGGCUGUUCUUCUGGUUGCCGCCCGCCGCCGCCGCGGUGGAGCUGCCGCCGCCGCCGCCGCCGCCGCCCCCCGAAGUUUGCUGCGGGCCCGGCGGCUUCAGCUCCGUCUCCAUCAUGUUGUACAUGCGGGCGCUGUGCGCGGGCCCGGCCCGCCGGCGGCCGCCGACCUCGGGCCCCGUCCCGGGACUUUGGGGGGGCCCGCGGGCGGGGGAGAGGAGGAGGGGCGGCGGGCGGGGGUGUCGGGAGCGCAGGGCUCCGCGAGGAAAAUCAGCCGAAGAAUAAUUUGGGGGAGGAAAGAGAGAGAGGCAAACUGGAAUCAGGAUCAAAAAAGUGCUUCCCUCCUCUUCUGGCCGAUCCUGCCGCCGCCGAUGAUUGUUAUUAUUAUUUUUUGGAAAGGCUUAAGCCUGGGGCUCAAACUUCUCUCUCUUUCUUUCUCUCUCCUCUUCUUUCUCUCAGUCCUAGUCUUAAAGAGGCAGCAAACUACUUUCCCCCUUUUGCAAACACUCUCUUCUCUGCCUUGA
ensembl:lncRNA